CGGGCUCUUUCCGCGGCGGCCCAGAGCGCUUGGCUUGCGCUCCCGACGUGGAAGGUUUUCACGGCACCUAGAUGUCGCGGGAAGACUAGACGAGGGCCCAUCCCGCCUGGUGAUGCUGACUGCGGCCUCUGCCAUUUCUAGGCGGGCUGCACUUUGAUUGAAAUACAGCUGAUAAAUGCAUGAGACUAAGCAUCACAUCCUGCAGAAGCAACUGCAGUGCAGGGCAACCGUUCCCAGCCUCUUCCUUGCAGAAGCAACUGCAGUGCACGGCCACCAUUCCCGGCCUCUUCCCAGCUGCCUUCCCAGGGAGCAAGCACACUUAACUCUUUCUGGUGUCUCUGUCGUCAUCUAGAGAACGCACAUGCUAUGCUUAUAACACCAGCUUCUUUCUCUUUUCAAGACUUAUUUCUAUUUAUGUGCAUGUACAUAUUUGCGUAUGGACUUGCACGUGUGUACAGGUACCCAAAGAGGCCAGGAGAGGGCACUGGAUCUCCUGACCCUAGAAUUACAGGAAAUGGUGAACUGCCCAAUGUAGGUGCUGCUGGGAACCGAACUCUACUUCUCUUUGUCCAAG
rnacentral:lncRNA from 1 species